rnacentral:rRNA from 1 species
GACGAACGCUGGCGGCGUGCUUAACACAUGCAAGUCGAACGGUGAAGCGCCUUCCUUUUUGGUCGGUGUGUAUGAGUGGCGAACUGGUUAGUAACACGUUAGUCUCCUUCCCCCUCCUUCUUGAUAUCCGCAUGAAAGUGUUGCUAAUACGGGAUAUUCUGGACCUGACGCAUGAUUGGUCUGGGAAAGUUUUUGUUUCGCUUGUGGAUGGGUUCGCGCCCUAUCAGCUUGUUGGUGGGGUGAUGGCCUACCAAGGCGGUGACGGGUAGCCGGCCUGAGAGGGUGGGCCGCCAUAGAGGGGAGGAGCCGCGGACAAGACUCCGGGGGGAGGCAGCAGGGAGGAUUAGUGCACAGUGGGCGCAAGCAUGAUGCAGCGACGCGGCGGGGGGGAUGGAGGCCGUCGGGUUGUGAACCUCUAUCGGGAGUGAAGCAGGCCUGCCUUGUCUGUGGGCGGGUUGACGGUAGCUGGACAAGAAGCGCCGGCUAACUACGUG